GCACCUGUAGCUCAGGGGUAGAGCGCAGGAUUGCAGCUACACUGCAACCAUCCCGAGGUCAGCGGUUCGAAUCCGCUCAGGUGCU
rnacentral:tRNA from 1 species